AACGAACGCUGGCGGCAUGCCUAACACAUGCAAGUCGAACGAGACCUUCGGGUCUAGUGGCGCACGGGUGCGUAACGCGUGGGAACCUGCCCUUAGGUUCGGAAUAACUCCCCGAAAGGGGUGCUAAUACCGGAUAAUGUCUUCGGACCAAAGAUUUAUCGCCUUUGGAUGGGCCCGCGUUGGAUUAGCUAGUUGGUAGGGUAAAAGCCUACCAAGGCGACGAUCCAUAGCUGGCCUGAGAGGAUGAUCAGCCACACUGGGACUGAGACGCGGCCCAGACUCCUACGGGAGGCAGCAGUGGGGAAUAUUGGACAAUGGGCGAAAGCCUGAUCCAGCAAUGCCGCGUGAGUGAUGAAGGCCUUAGGGUUGUAAAGCUCUUUUACCCGGGAUGAUAAUGACAGUACCGGGAGAAUAAGCUCCGGCUAACUCCGUG
rnacentral:rRNA from 1 species